UAAUUAAUAUUGAUAACUGUAUUGACUUACUUUUAAAACUUUAUUUAAAAAGGAAACACCACAUUCCUGACAUGAAUGGGGAAAUCCAUACUAUUUUUCCUUCUUUGUCUUCCAUGAACAUUAGUUAUUCUUACCAUGGCCUGAACACAGUCCCUGCUGUUAACCUGUGGCUGAGCUCUCCUGACCUUGCAGCAAAGAUCGGACUGAUUCUUGCACUGCCUACUGCAAUACCCAGAAACAACCAGCAUUCAGGAGGUGAGGUGACACCAUGGACAGGAAGGACAUUGCAUUGGCACCUGCUGAAGAGCUUCGUAGAAGCUAGUAUGCUGAGGUUGGGAAGCCACUUCUCUACUAUUAUGAGAACAAUCCAGGACUAGCCUACUGGGGGCUGAGAUAAACCUCAUGAAGCAGAAUCACUUUGUCACAGUGGAGGCCGUCCUAGACUCAUUGGGCCCCAUGCGACUCAUCAGCUGAACACAGAUGGAUGGCCAAGGGCUGCUGAGAGCAAUUGAGCCUGGCCCAGAUCAGCACACCCACCUAGCCACAUAUCUGUGAGAAAUAGUAAGUAGUUGUUAUUUCAAGCCAUUAUGUUUUGGGGUGGUUUGUUACAUGGCAAUCGCCACCUGAUACAGAGACUUGGAGACAGGUUACGUGACAGAGUUGGUGGCAGAGCUAGGAGUAGAGUCAGGCUGAUGCUGUUUCUUUUUAAUUUGUUUUAAAUUUUUGUGGCUACAUAGUAGGUGUAUAUAUUUAUGGGUACGUGAGAUGUUUUGAUACAGGCAUGCAAUGUGUAAUAAUUACAUCAAAGAAAAUGGGUAUCCAUCCCCUAGCCUGCUGCUUAUUCUUGGUCAAGGUGUUUGAUACAAUGCUCUGCUACUGAACCCAUGUCUUCCCCUUCACCAGGUGACCUCUUAUCUUCUGAAAAGUAACCUCUGGUGCAUUCUGUCCCUCAGGGAGUCAAUCAUGGCCACAUGGGUACAUGGAUGAACAUUCUUCUGCAAAGAAGAUCUAUUUAAAUUUUGCAAAAUGUAUCUCUUUUUUUGGAAGAAAUAUCAAACAAUCUUUGGCUGUUCUGUAACUGUCUGGCAAGUCCAUCUGCCUGUUUUUUACAUAAAAUUUUCAUAAACCAAAAUCAAAUGAACUUUAUUUGAUUUUUCAUCUUAGUAGCAGUAAUAUGAGACCCUACACAUUAUCAUAUAGAGGUCAGGAGCUCCAUCAGAGUAAUUUCCCAACAUUGUUUUGACUUUCUGGGAAGACUGAAGGAAUGUUUUGAGAUGGAUCUCCUUCUCACCCCACUUUGGCUUGAUGCUUCACUUCUGAUUAUUGUGGUGCAAAGAUGUCAACCUACAGCUUAUAGUAGGCUUGAUUUCUAAGGUCAUGCUCAUCUGCAGGCUUUGUAAAAUCUCAAAACAACACAGUAAGAAAGGUCACUUAACAAUAAGAUAAUUCACAUGUUUCCUCCCCAUGAAUGAAGUUUGGUGUAAAAAGAAGCAAAAAUAGUGCCAGAAAUAAAUUACUGACUUAUAAACAUGUUUAUUAAAUGCGUCAUACUUGGAGCACCAGAUGUGAGGAAGACAAAGGCUAAAUGCCAGCAGCAGGAUUGCUAAGUAAAUUAUUUGGCUUGUUGCUGGUAAUGAGAGACUCUACUUGGUGGGAGCUGCUGUGAAAUUACAUGUUUCUACUGUGUUUUUCCUCAGUGAACCAUGAUUGACUCUAGGAAUUGUUUGGAUAAUCUCCCUCUUUGGUGUUGAUAGAAAAAAUAAUUAUCUUUAAAAGAAAAUCUUGAUAAGCCCAAAUAUUUUUUCUGAACUCACAAUUUAUGUCUUCAUCAAUAAAAGUGAUAAAUAAAUUUAUCAAGUGUAAUUUGAUUGCCUCUAAUUCUCCCCUUUCUUCAUACUUUGCAAAAAAAAUACUGUUAAUUUGAGUUAUGCUGAAGACUUAAACUAUAGUCUUCAAAACAGAAAAUAGAAUCUAGAAAGAUGAUACUGUCUGUUAGCAUUUCUAAAUCAUAUUUCUCCUGCAAAAAUGGGCAAAUCUUAAAAUAAGGCUGCUGAUUUGAUUAGGCAGUCUAAUAAUUACACACCUCAUGUACAAUCUCCUAUUCACAGAUCUGGCAUUCUUCCUAUUUCUCCUUUAGAAAAAUAUUUUCUUGCUCAGUUGAGAAGAAUAAGUCAUUAGAGGCUCCAGUAAACAAUUCUGUGUGGAGUGUCCAUUUGAGCAAGCAGCUGUCCUUUGAAAAUUGUCUUUAUUGUUCGAGGCUCUCAAUUUUGCAGCCAGGAGGUUAUAUAAAAUCAAUUAAGCCAGAGGAUCUCUAGGUAAUCAGCCCUGAGCACAGUUGCCCCAGCUGUGAUUAUUUGCCGACGGUGGCAGCUUACUCCUUUAUUCCUGUGUUGCUCAGCCCCCACUUUAGCCUUCACCUCUUGGCAGCAUUGUGCCUCCCAACCCAACCCCCAUUGGCUUCUUUGCUUCACCACUCUUGCUGGUGCAGCCCAGGCUGCUAUCUCCCUGGGUGUCACCCCAGCUCCUGCUUUCAAGGGAUACAAGGAGAAUGCCCUGCUGGGUUAAGAGGUUGUGGCUUUCAUUUCCUUCUCACCAGCAGAUAGGAAGCUGGAAGGAGGUACUACAAAUUGCAGCUGUUGCUGUGGCAACCAGGGCUGCUCCUCAGAAAAGCUGUUCCAGAGGAAAAGCUCCUUGAGUCUUUUGAUCUUUCUGUGUCUUCCCCUUUUUUCAGCCCUUAUGAGGCAACUCAAGCAAUCAUCUCUCCUAAGCACCCCAUCCACUUCUCCCAUGACAAGGAAGUCAUUCACACUGAGGAUUCGACAAUAGAGGAGCCUUCCUGCACUACUCUGCUCAGAGGCAUUGUCCUUGAAUAAGGCAUACAUCCUGUAACCAGAAGAACAUGCCAUAUCAUAACGUCUAAUAUUGUAAUUCUAUGCAUCAUUUGGCUGGGUGGGGAAAGUAUUUUGAGGUGUAGGGUAGGAUAGAGAACUUGUCCAUUCAUUUGUCGAGUGCUUAUUGGAUACUCACCAGGGAGUGAGUACCAGGCAAAAUGCUAAGCACUGGGGUUUCGGAGACAAAUAAGACAGUGUUGAUACCUCUCACAGUCUGGUGGAGAGGCAGAUAUAAAAAGAAAUGUUCACAAUAAAGCAAUGCAGGUGUUUAAUAAAAGUCUAUCUGGGGCUUCUAAGGCAUGAGGGAGGGUGUGUGUGGGCAGCCGGGGAAGCCUCUUGACAGAAGUGUCAUGAGAGAGAGAGGGUGUGUGGUAAGUACACACAUUACUUUGGAGGACUCUUAAAUCUUCUCUUGAAUCCAAUAUCUUAGCUUCAUUUAUGGCUAGUUGGUCAACACCUCAGUAGGUCCAGAGAGCCUUUGUGAAAUAUAAUGUAAAUAUGAGGCAAAGACAGCUGAUGGUCUCUCCCUUAUGAGUCUCUGGAAGGUGGUGAUGAUAGUCCUGGAAGCAGGGCUGGUGGGGACUGGGAAUGGAAAGAAAGGUCUCACUAGAAUAUUCAGCUAGACCUCCUCGGGGAAGUGAGGGGUAAUCACUGGAGGCUAGUGUGGGAGGAGUAAUCACGGAGCUCCUGGCUACAGAACUCCUGGGUGUGUGGUGUUCGGGAAACUGAAACUGGGUGGGGACACUGAUGGGAAAAGAUCUGCCUGACUAUUAUUAAGGGCAUGUAUGCAGUGUCAUGAUUAACUGCAGGGCUUUGGAUUCCAACAGAUUGGAGUUUGUCUUGACUCUGCCACCACUAACUGGAGACUCUGAACAAGGUAGCAAUCCUUCUGGGCCUGUUUCUUCAGGUGUAAAAGGGGAUUAUGUCUAUGGGCUGAAUUGCACCCCCCAUUCAUAUAUUGAAGUCCUAACACCAAGUACCUCAAAAUAUGACUGUGUUUGGAGAUAGAGCCUUUAAGGAGGUAUUGAGUUAGAAUGAGGUCACAAUUCUGGGCCCUAAUCCAAUAUGACCGAUGUCCUUUUAGGAAGAGGAAAUUUAGAUACAGACAUGUACAGAGGGAAAAAUGAUGUGAAGAAACAGGGAGAAGACAAACCAGGGAGAGGGGCCUGGAAUAGAUCCUUCCCUCAUUGCCUUAGAAGGAACCAGCCCUGCCUACACCUUGGUCUUCAGAACUGUGAGAAAUAAAUCUCUCUCUUUUUUAAGCCACCUAGUCUGUGAUAGUUUGUUAUGACAGCCCAAGUUAACUAAUCUAUUGAGAAGAUAAAUUCAUCUAAUUUAUAUGAUGAACUAAAACGCAUGAUAAUAAUCAUUAUAUGGUUGCUAUAAUUAGCAAUAGCAUUAAGGUUGGCUCUAAUUAGGAACAAAUCCUAACUCACUUGCAUUAUUGGAUUAUUAAGGCUAUGAAGAUUAAUUGAUUUCUCUGGUUAACUGGGUGUCAGAGGAUGCCUUGUUUCCAUUCUGAUGAUGACAUCUUUUAAACAUGCCUCAUCCAUCUUUAUACUGAUUAGAAUUGAAGCUUUUUGUGAUUUGUGGGCUCAAAUGCCUUUCUUUGAUUACAAGAGAUUGAAACUGCAUGCAUACUCUUUCUGAAAAGAAGUUUUGUUUUGUUUUUAACAAGCCAAUUAUGUCAAUGUUUUCUAAUAAUUUGCUCCUUUUCUUCAUAAUGAAGUGCUGAAAACUCAAGUUAGCUUUAAGUUUCUAGGUAAUUGGACAAAUCCAUUGUGUUAGUAUUCUUUACUUUCCAUGAGCACAUUUUGUAAAACAUAGUCUUAUAUAUUGCUAUACACUGUAAGAACUCAAACUUGUUUCUGAAACUUUAAUUAUAAUAAAAAUAUGCAAAUUGCUUCACUAGUUAUGGACCAGCUGCUUCUAAACAGUUAACAAACAGAUCAUGUAAAUAUUUUUGGUUAGGAGAAACACCAUGCUCCCAACAACAACAAGACCCAGAAGAAACAGAAUUAUAUUUACAAUUUUCUGGAUUAUAUUUCUCAAUUGGGUUUAUGGGAGCUGGUACAAAACAGCAAAUUGUACUUUAUCACUCACUUGUUUCCACUUAUCUUUUAAGAGAAAACUUUAUUUAGCAUCUUUCUCUCUCUUGAGGAGGAGGUCACAGAACAAAUCAUCUCUACUGGUUCUUACCUAUCCAAGAAAAUUCUGCACAUGGAAAUUCAAGUAAAGAAAGGGAGAAAGGACAACUAUGGAAAGAUACAACUCAGUUUCAGAAGGAGGGAAUAAAAGACCAGUGGACCAUAUCUUUGAAAGAUGUGGUAAAUUAAAAUGCCACUCCUUCCAUGAGGAGGUGGAGCCCAGUACAUUAACCCCAUGCAUUGGGAAUAUUCUGAGCUGUACUUGCAACUAGCUUUGGCCAGUAGAAUGUGAGAGAACAAACAUUGUAUAAUUUCCAAGCAAGGCUUCAAGAGGACUUGUAACUUCUGCUAUCACUUUCUUGCAUGCAUCAUUGCUCUGAGAGUUUCAUGGAAGGAAGUAUAGUAUAGCUGCCUUGAAGAUGACAGAGCACACGAAAAGAGAUCCCAGCUGACAGCCAGCAUCAACUCUCAGACAUGUGAGAGAGGCCAUCUUAGAUUCUCCAGGUCCAGUCUCAGGCAGGACCAGGAGAAGAACAAUCUAGCCACGUACAUCCCAAACUGCUGAUGUGCAAAAUCAAGAGUUGGUAAAAGGGAUGCUAAUUUAAGUCACUAAGUUUUGGGCUGUUUGUUAUACAGCAGUAAGAAACUGAUACAAAAGCACUUGGGACAUAGAAAAAAACAUUUUACAAAAUUCAACAUUGUCAUAGUAAAAACAACAAACUAGGAAUAGAAGGGAAUUUCCUCUACAUGAUAAAGGAUGUCUAUGAAAACUCACAGUAAAUAUCAUACUUAAUGAUGAAAGAUUUUCCCCUUUAAGGUCAUGAACAAGACAAAAAUGUCCACUUUUCUAUUUCUAUUCAGCAUUGUACCAGAGAUUCUAGCCAGGACAAGUAGGGAAGAAAAAGAAGUAAGAGACAUCUAGAUUAGAAAGGAAAAAUAAUACAUAUUAUUUGAAGGGGACGUGAUCUUGUAGAUAGAAAAUCUUAGAAGUCCACUAAAAAUAUUACCACAAAUAAACAAAUUUAGCAAGAAGCAAGACACAAAAUUAGUAUGCAAAUAUCCCUUGUAUUUCUAUACACUUGCAAUGACCAAUGAAAAAAUUAAAUUAAGAAAGUAAUUCCAUUUAGAGGAGCAUCAACAAUAAUAAAAUACUUUUAAAUAAGCUUAGCAAAAGAAGUGCAAAACUUGUAAAAUGAAGACUACAAAACAUGGUUGAAAGAAAUUAAAG